UACGGGGGGAGCAAGCGUUGUUCGGAUUUACUGGGCGUAAAGGGCGCGUAGGCGGCGCAACAAGUCACUUGUGAAAUCUCCGAGCUUAACUCGGAAAGGUCAACUGAUACUGUGCGACUAGAGUGCGGAAGGGGCAACUGGAAUUCUUGGUGUAGCGGUGAAAUGCGUAGAUAUCAAGAGGAACACCUGCGGCGAAGGCGGGUCUCUGGGCAACAGCUGACGCUGAGGAGCGAAAGCGUGGGGAGCGAACAGG
rnacentral:rRNA from 1 species